rnacentral:rRNA from 1 species
AUAGAUCCUGAAACCGCAUGCUUACAAAAAGUAGGAGCCUCGAAAGGGGUGACUGCGUACCUUUUGUAUAAUGGGUCAGCGACUUACAUUCAGUGGCAAGGUUAACCGAAUAGGGAAGCCGUAGAGAAAUCGAGUCCGAAUAGGGCGAUCAGUCGCUGGGUGUAGACCCGAAACCAAGUGAUCUAUCCAUGGGCAGGAUGAAGGUGCCGUAACAGGUACUGGAGGUCCGAACCGACUAAUGUUGCAAAAUUAGCGGAUGACCUGUGGAUAGGGGUGAAAGGCUAAACAAACUUGGAAAUAGCUGGUUCUCUCCGAAAACUAUUUAGGUAGUGCCUCAAGUAUUACCAUCGGGGGUAGAGCACUGUUUUGGCUAGGGGGUCAUGGCGACUUACCAAACCAAGGCAAACUCCGAAUACCGAUGAGUACAGCUUGGGAGACAGAGCACCGGGUGCUAACGUCCGGACUCAAGAGGGAAACAACCCAGACCGCCAGCUAAGGUCCCUAAAAUUGGCUAAGUGGGAAACGAAGUGGGAAGGCUAAAACAGUCAGGAUGUUGGCUUAGAAGCAGCCAUCAUUUAAAGAAAGCGUAAUAGCUCACUGAUCGAGUCGUCCUGCGCGGAAGAUGUAACGGGGCUAAGCCAGUUACCGAAGCUGCGGAUUUGCAAUUUAUUGCAAGUGGUAGGAGAGCGUUCUGUAGGCCUGUGAAGGUGGUGGUGUAAACCCUGCUGGAGGUAUCAGAAGUGCGAAUGCUGACAUGAGUAGCGUUAAAGGGGGUGAAAAGCCCCCUCGCCGUAAGCGCAAGGUUUUCUACGCAACGUUCAUCGGCGUAGAGUGAGUCGGCCCCUAAGGCGAGGCAGAGAUGCGUAGCUGAUGGGAAACAGGUCAAUAUUCCUGUACCGAUUACAAGUGCGAUGUGGGGACGGAGAAGGUUAGCUCAGCCAACUGUUGGAUAUGUUGGUUCAAGCCUGUAGUCAUGCCUGGUAGGCAAAUCCGCCGGGCUAAGAUGAGGGGUGAUAACGAGUGUGCUUGCACACGAAGUGAGUGAUACCCUGCUUCCAGGAAAAGCCACUAAGCUUCAGCUUGUAAUUGACCGUACCGCAAACCGACACUGGUGCGCGAGAUGAGUAUUCUAAGGCGCUUGAGAGAACUCAGGAGAAGGAACUCGGCAAAUUGAUACCGUAACUUCGGGAGAAGGUAUGCCCCUAUUAGGUGAACUUGAACAAAGGGAGCCGAACGGGGUUGCAAAAAAUCGGUGGCUGCGACUGUUUAAUAAAAACACAGCACUCUGCAAACACGAAAGUGGACGUAUAGGGUGUGACGCCUGCCCGGUGCUGGAAGAUUAAAUGAUGGGGUGCAAGCUCUUGAUUGAAGUCCCAGUAAACGGCGGCCGUAACUAUAACGGUCCUAAGGUAGCGAAAUUCCUUGUCGGGUAAGUUCCGACCUGCACGAAUGGCGUAACGAUGGCCACACUGUCUCCUCCUGAGACUCAGCGAAGUUGAAAUGUUUGUGAUGAUGCAAUCUCCCCGCGGAAAGACGGAAAGACCCCAUGAACCUUUACUGUAGCUUUGUAUUGGACUUUGAACAGAUCUGUGUAGGAUAGGUGGGAGGCUUUGAAGCGAGGUCGCUAGAUCUCGUGGAGCCAACGUUGAAAUACCACCCUGGUGUGUUUGAGGUUCUAACCUAGGUCCAUUAUCUGGAUCGGGGACAGUGCAUGGUAGGCAGUUUGACUGGGGCGGUCUCCUCCCAAAGCGUAACGGAGGAGUUCGAAGGUACGCUAGUUACGGUCGGACAUCGUGAUAAUAGUGCAAUGGCAUAAGCGUGCUUAACUGCGAGACUGACAAGUCGAGCAGAUACGAAAGUAGGACAUAGUGAUCCGGUGGUUCUGUAUGGAAGGGCCAUCGCUCAACGGAUAAAAGGUACUCUGGGGAUAACAGGCUGAUACCGCCCAAGAGUUCAUAUCGACGGCGGUGUUUGGCACCUCGAUGUCGGCUCAUCUCAUCCUGGGGCUGUAGCCGGUCCCAAGGGUAUGGCUGUUCGCCAUUUAAAGAGGUACGUGAGCUGGGUUUAAAACGUCGUGAGACAGUUUGGUCCCUAUCUUCCGUGGGCGCUG